rnacentral:rRNA from 1 species
AUUGAACGCUGGCGGCAGGCCUAACACAUGCAAGUCGAGCGGAGCGGCGGACGGGUGAGUAAUGCCUAGGAAUCUGCCUGGUAGUGGGGGAUAACGUCCGGAAACGGGCGCUAAUACCGCAUACUAUCAGAUGAGCCUAGGUCGGAUUAGCUAGUGGGUGGGGUAAAGGCAUACCAAGUCGACGAUCCGUAACUGGUCUGAGAGGAUGAUCAGUCACAGUGGAACUGAGAAACGGUACAGACUGCUACGGGAGGCAGCAGUGGGGAAGAUUGGACAAGGGGCGAAAGCCUGAGACAGCCAUGCCGCGUGUGUGAAGAAGGUCUUCGGAUUGUAAAGCACGUUAAGUUGGGAGGCGUUACCAACAGAAUAAGCACCGGCUAACUUCGUGCCAGCAGCAGCGGUAAUUC